GCUUGCUCCCUGAUGUUAGCGGCGGACGGGUGAGUAACACGUGGGUAACCUGCCUGUAAGACUGGGAUAACUCCGGGAAACCGGGGCUAAUACCGGAUGGUUGUCUGAACCGCAUGGUUCAGACAUAAAAGGUGGCUUCGGCUACCACUUACAGAUGGACCCGCGGCGCAUUAGCUAGUUGGUGAGGUAACGGCUCACCAAGGCGACGAUGCGUAGCCGACCUGAGAGGGUGAUCGGCCACACUGGGACUGAGACACGGCCCAGACUCCUACGGGAGGCAGCAGUAGGGAAUCUUCCGCAAUGGACGAAAGUCUGACGGAGCAACGCCGCGUGAGUGAUGAAGGUUUUCGGAUCGUAAAGCUCUGUUGUUAGGGAAGAACAAGUGCCGUUCAAAUAGGGCGGCACCUUGACGGUACCUAACCAGAAAGCCACGGCUAACUACGUGCCAGCAGCCGCGGUAAUACGUAGGUGGCAAGCGUUGUCCGGAAUUAUUGGGCGUAAAGGGCUCGCAGGCGGUUUCUUAAGUCUGAUGUGAAAGCCCCCGGCUCAACCGGGGAGGGUCAUUGGAAACUGGGGAACUUGAGUGCAGAAGAGGAGAGUGGAAUUCCACGUGUAGCGGUGAAAUGCGUAGAGAUGUGGAGGAACACCAGUGGCGAAGGCGACUCUCUGGUCUGUAACUGACGCUGAGGAGCGAAAGCGUGGGGGAGCGAACAGGAUUAGAUACCCUGGUAGUCCACGCCGUAAACGAUGAGUGCUAAGUGGUAAGGGGGUUUCCGCCCCUUAGUGCUGCAGCUAACGCAUUAAGCACUCCGCCUGGGG
rnacentral:rRNA from 1 species